UGGGGAAUCUUCCGCAAUGGACGAAAGUCUGACGGAGCAACGCCGCGUGAGUGAAGACGGCCUUCGGGUUGUAAAGCUCUGUGAUUCGGGACGAAAGGCCAUAUGUGAAUAAUAUAUGGAAAUGACGGUACCGAAAAAGCAAGCCACGGCUAACUACGUGCCAGCAGCCGCGGUAAUACGUAGGUGGCAAGCGUUGUCCGGAAUUAUUGGGCGUAAAGCGCGCGCAGGCGGUCACUUAAGUCCAUCUUAGAAGUGCGGGGCUUAACCCCGUGAUGGGAUGGAAACUGGGAGACUGGAGUAUCGGAGAGGAAAGUGGAAUUCCUAGUGUAGCGGUGAAAUGCGUAGAGAUUAGGAGGAACACCGGUGGCGAAUGCGACUUUCUGGACGAAAACUGACGCUGAGGCGCGAAAGCGUGGGGAGCAAACAGG
rnacentral:rRNA from 1 species